UACGGGGGGAGCAAGCGUUGUUCGGAUUUACUGGGCGUAAAGGGCGCGUAGGCGGUCAGCACAAGUCAGUUGUGAAAUCUCCGGGCUUAACUCGGAAAGGUCAACUGAUACUGUGCGACUAGAGUGCAGAAGGGGCAACUGGGAAUUCUUGGUGUAGCGGUGAAAUGCGUAGAUAUCAAGAGGAACACCUGCGGCGAAGGCGGGUUGCUGGGCUGACACUGACGCUGAAGCGCGAAAGCCAGGGGAGCGAACGGG
rnacentral:rRNA from 1 species